rnacentral:rRNA from 1 species
UACGAAGGGGGGCUAGCGUUGCUCGGAAUCACUGGGCGUAAAAGGGUGCGUAGGCGGGUUUUUAAGUCAGAGGUGAAAUCCUGGAGCUCAACUCCAGAACUGCCCCUUGAUACUGGCGGUCUCGAGUCCGGGGAGAGGUGGAGUGGAACUGCGAGUGUAGAGGUGAAAUUCGUAGAUAUUCGCAAGGAACACCAGUGGCGAAGGCGGCUCACUGCCCGGUACUGACGCUGAGGUGCGAAAGCGUGGG